GGCAGCACCCUUCUUCCUCCAAACCUUGGAGCAAAGUGCUCACCUGAGCUGCUGUUUCAGUGGGUCAUUGCAGGAUGGGCUAAGUGGAGGUCGGCAGUGUGAGCUACAGCUGAAUGAAAAGCUCUCUUUCCUUCAGUGUUUUCUGAGUCCCACCAGCCUCUGACGUGUCAAACACAGCUCUCAGGACCUGGCGGCAGAGCCUCCCCACGUGCCCAGGAGCUGAUGCAAGUCACACCCGUCAUUCGGCAGAAAAUGUUGCAAUAGGAAAUCCCCUUUUCUGGCUCAGCUUUUGGCAUGGCUUCUUGCUGACUGAUGAGCAGCUUGGACACCAGAACAUAUUCA